UCUAGUCAGGAUUCUAGUUGUCAAAUAUAAGCGUGUCGAAUACGUAUUAGUUAACUGUCAAAUGAAAUUAGAUCAACGGUAGACUUUUUUGUCGAUGGGUAUAGCUGCCAUGUUUGGAUUUAUGACAUUUGAAAGGGAAUCCUAAGGCAGAGAGUAGUUUUUUCUGUACGAUUUUGAUUCUUCUACUCGACGCAAGAUGGAGUUAGCUGCCAAAUUCCGAUCUUGGCGUUAUAAAAAUAAACCGCAAGAACCAUGACAAUGACAUGCAGUUGCGUCGAUGUAGAUCUAUCAUAAAAACGUACAUGUGACAAUUGUCCAGGAUUUAAAAAAAUCUUGACAAUUAAUAAAUGUCAAAAAGAAAACUGAUUUAUUAUAAAAAUACAAAUUAUAUAUAAAGUUUGAUUUUAAAACCAAUGGUCGUGGGUCCUAACCCCGGCUCUUAACAAUGAACAUCUUGUAACUUGUGUGCAAAAUAUCAUUUAACUUUUACCAAUUACUUUUCGGUUAAAUAUAAUAUCACGAGGAAGAAGUAGGCCCAAUAAGGUAUAUUUUCCCCUCUGGGUUAGAAGGUCAGAUGGCAGUGAGACAGGGAGAGAUAGUGAAAAAUGCGGCAAAAUAAUCAUUAAUUGUGUUGUUAGACUAGCUUUUUUUGUUAAUAUGAAAAUUGACGCAACAGCAAGCUCAAAGCCCCCUAUGAGCCAGAGCCUGUUAGGUGCAGGCUUAAUUGGCUCAUCCGAGGGAAGCGGAGCUUCGGCGACUAGCUGGUUGCGUCUGCUUAUCAACUUCUUCCAAUUCACUUUUACAUCAACUCCUUAUAAAUUUGUAAAUUAAGGUCAACUUUGUAAGAACUAAUACCUGUGCCAUACUAUAAAUUGGACGAUAUGCCUAAUUAAUUGUUAUUAAUGUUGAAUUUUUAAUGGCGUAUAAUAUAAGACAGCGGUCGUAUAAUGACUGAGAAAUUUGGAUUUUUCUGUUUGAAUAAACAGCAAACUGGAGACAUUGAGAUUAAUUAUAAACUUAUUAUUUUAGGUGUUAUCAAGAAAAAAGGUCUUAACAGAUUUAUGAAUAGGCAUUGGCAGAAAAACAGGCGUCCGACCACGCAUAAUGGAGGAUUAUAUUUCUUUUAUCAUGUAGCUAUAUCUAUAUGACCUCUGCCGCCGACUUUUUCACCCGUUGGCGCCUGUGCCCAAAUCCUUCUAAGACCGAAGUUUGCUGUUUCCACCUGUCCAAUAAGCUGGCACAUAAGACCCUCAAGAGUUAGAUUCCGGGGUACAGCCUUACAACAUAACUAUUCCCCAAAGUAUCUCGGUGUUACACUGGACAGAAGCCUGACAUACCGAUUGCACAUAGAGAAGCUAAAAAGUAAAAUAAGGACCAGGAUAUUUUAAUUACGAUACAUAAAUAACUACUAAAACAUGUUUUCUGCAAGAAAUUAGUUAUCUUAUUAUAUUAUAAAAUAUUUAUUAUCCAUCUGUGAUGUUUAUUUCUUGUGAAGAUAUCGAAGUUUCGCUGUGUAGCACUUAUCGAUAUAUAAUAUGAUCAAAAUCGACCCGUCCACAUCCCUAAAAAUCCACACAUACACAUUUUUACGCUCAUAUACAAAGCAGUAUAACCACCAAAAUGGCUACGGCUUGAGUAUUCAAAUUUGUAUUGAGAAAAGGCAACUAUAUCCUGUCUUUAUUUGCCUCUCUAUCGCUCGAAUAUGCAAUACGCAUGCACUCUUCGUCAAAAUCGGUUUGAAACUUUUUCGACUGAGUACGCGCAAUAAACGCCUAGUAGUAGUAUUUAAAUGUUUACCGUAUUCAUUUAAAGCAUCGUAGGACAAUGCCGCUAUGUAAACUGUAAGGUGGGUCUUAAAUUAGUGUGAGUUAUUUUGGCAGCGGACUCAACCUUCACGUUACAAUAUUUAAAGUAUUGCGCUGUCAUAGUAACGAAAAUGAUAAACACGUCAAUCGGAGUAAACAAGUAACUAAAUGAUGCAAACAAGAAAAUAUUGCAAAAUAGGUACAUAUAUAUGUACCGAUAAUUAUUUUGUGUUAAAAAUAUGAGGCAAAUUAUACUGCCCGAUUAUACGGACUACAUAUUAAAAACGAUUAUCUUGGAAACAGUCAAUAGAUGUCGAACCACCAGCAAAGUUUUUGAAGAGGUGUAGUUCCUGGUACCAACUGGAAACUGAAACUAAUAAUCUACACUCAAGAAAAUGAAAUAUAGUCACAGAAAACUUUAAUGUUUUAUUUUAUUAAAGAAAAACGUUAAAAAAAUGUCUAAACAGAAAUAUAUAUUUUUUAAUUCGUAGUUGAAUAACAUAAUAUGUAUUUAAUCUCCUGUACAUAGGAAUCGUCUUUUUGUAGGUUUAUAUAAACAAUAAGUACUUAGGUCGAUUUAGGCAUCAACUCAUCACACCAAAAUUUUGUUCUAACCGGUCACACCGCCAAAAGCAGUAUUAUUUGUUUCAACCCGUCACAAGUAGAUUUAGUUCUAUUAGGACACAUCGUAAUUUUGUAGCUAUUGGUCAAACUGCUAAUCUGUUCCUAUUCGUCAUCCCGUCAAACUGUUCUAACUAGUCACAAGGAGGAUACCUAAACAAAUUUCACUACCCGCCAAACGUGUAAUAUAGACCAUAUAGUAGGUCUUAAUGGUGAUGGCGACUGUACAAUGGGGUUGCGUAUACAUACAAAGAGCAUUCAAAUAGUUGGUGAUAGACCAAGUGACCGAGUUACUAACAGUUAUAUUAUAUCUUUUUUAUAAAUAAUGUAAUAGCGUAAUUUUUGGAAAAAUAAUAAAGGAUUCAUGAACCA